AUGGCUUUCGCUAAUGGUCUCAAGUUAGCUGCCCUCUGUGUGCUGGUCCUGACCAUGGGCCAGAUGAUGGCAGUUACUGAUGCAUCGGCUCCGCUCCUGCAGUUCGCAGAGCAGGAGCGCUCAACCUCUGAAGAUUGCCUCUGCAGCCCUGCUACAUGGUGGUGUUGCCCUCCAGCAAGCGGAGUCGCAAAACCCUCCGAAGAUUGCCUCUGCAGCCCUGCGACAUGGUGGUGUUGCCCUCCAGCAAGCGGAGUCGCAAAACCCUCCGAGUUUUGCACCUGCACCCCUGAAAAAUGGUGGUGUUGCCCUCCAAUAAGCGGAGUCGCAAAACCCUCUGAGGAUUGCCUCUGCAGCCCUGCUACAUGGUUUUGUUGCCCUGAAGCAAGCGGAGUCGCAAAACCCUCCGAGGAUUGA
rnacentral:rRNA from 1 species